rnacentral:tRNA from 1 species
GCCCUCGUAGCUCAGUUGGUAGAGCAAUCGGCUUUUAACCGAUUGGUCCUUGGUUCGAGUCCAAGCGGGGGUA